GGUUGUGAGGGUGAUCUGGCUGUGGCAUCUGUCACUGCACUGAUCGCCAGGGUUGAUUUGGCUGAUCUGGCUGCCUAGUCAGGUGUCCUCUCGUCCCUCAACAAUCUAUGAGCCUCCCUCCCAAGCUGCACAUUCCAUAUAAGAGGUCAUCAAUCCCAAUAGCGGAGGACCUCUGCUAGAGCCCCCAAACAAGCUCUCAAAAAACUUGAUAAUUUUGAGCUAAAAGUCUGCUUCUUUUU
rnacentral:sRNA from 1 species